AUUGAACGCUGGCGGCAGGCCUAACACAUGCAAGUCGAGCGGAAGAACGGUGCUUGCUUGUGGUUUCAGCGGCGGAAGGGUGUGUAAUGCCUGGGAAUAUGCCUGGCUGUGGUUGAGAACGUCCUGAAGCGGGCGCUAAUACUGCAUACUCGCUGCGGGAGCAAGUGGGGGAGCUUCGGACCUUACGCUCUCAGAUGAGCCUAGGUGGGAUUAGCUAGUUGGUGGGUUAAGGGCCUACCAAGGCGACGAUCCGUAACUGGUCUGAGAGGAUGAUCAGCCACCCUGGAACUGAGACACGGACCAGACGCCUACGGGAGGGAGCAGUGGGGAAUAUUGGACAGUGGGCGGAAGCCUGAUCCAGCCAUGCCGCGUGUGUGAAGAAGGCCUUCGGAUUGUAAAGCCCUUUUACUGGGGAUGAAGCGCAGUAAGUUAAUACCAAGCUGUUGUGACGGUACCAACAGAAUAAGCACCGGCUAACUUCGUG
rnacentral:rRNA from 1 species